rnacentral:lncRNA from 1 species
UAUAUUUCCUUUGUUUAUGUUUCUUUAUUGUUCCAAAACCAAAUUGUUCACACCAAUUUCCUAAUUCUUUUCUAGAUUGUCUAUUUUCCAUUUUUAAUUUCUAUUGUAAUUUUAUGUCUCUGCAUAAUCUUAUUCCUGUUAAGUUUACACAUGUGAUUAGAUCUCCAUAGGUUAAAUCAUCAUAUGAAAUGUGUCCAUAUUUUUGUUCAAUUGUUUCUUUUACUUUUGUUGAAAAUAACCUAGGUAAUCCUGUUAGGAAUUUCUCUUUCCAAUGGUAAGCGUUUGGAUCUGCUAAUGCAUAUACUCUUUUUAAGAAAUUGUCUUUAUACCAUCUAAAAUUUUCUAGUUUUCGACAUUUAAGAUUUUGUAAUAUUUCACUAUUUCUUUCUGUAUACAAAUCUAAAUCUCCUAUGAAAUGUGAUAUAAUAUUGUAAACUAGGUAUGCUAAGGUAAAGGAUUGUGGUUGGCCUGUAGAUGGGUCUAUAACAAAUUCGCCUGUAGUAUUAUCAAUUCUUCUGGCUGUUAAUAUAUUAUUUUUUAUUUCAUUACUUAGUAAUUUGUCCCACCAAGUUCUUAAUUCUCCAGUAAAUCCUAAUAUUAUGUUUUCAGCUGCUUCUCUUUCAGUAAUUCCAAC